CCCAUCUGCCUCGGUCCCUUCCUUCAAGAAUCCUAUCUUGAUUCCUGUUUUCAUAAAUUUUGUUACAGUUGCAUUUUGAAUUGGACUAAAGUAGUUGCUGGCAAGCAUUCUCAUGCACCUUCUUCUGUAAAAUGUCCUUUGUGCAAGACAGAAAACUGUUCAAUAAUUUAUGGAUACGAUGGAAGUUCAUUCCAAAGGUAGUAUAUAAAUGACAGUUUUGAGCUUAGGUACCUAUUUCUAUAUUCUUGUUUUUCCCUUUCA